AGCCGAGUCCGUGUGAGCCAAGCUUUGAAUUCAAGUCCACCUGCGCUUGAGGGAACGCAGGGAACGUAGCGGCGUCCAACAGCUGCUCGUGCAGAGCACCUUCCUCAGUCCUCAGGCUGUCAAAGGUGGAUGACAGCUUUCACAAUUGGUGUUAGUUUGUGCGGCCCUGCGUGAGCUGUGCGGUGAUUCCUGAAGACUUUUCUUACACUUACCUGUGACGCCGAAGCCUCCGGGUCCGACGCCCCUCGGCACCAGAGCACCUGGGUUCACACCUUGGCCUGCACCUCCAUAACCGCCAACUGUCAGGGCCAGCGGAGACAGUUACCAUCAGUGUCAGCGUCAAUGCUAGCCACCCGCUAGCCACCCGCUAACAACGCUGGUGCCGUGCUGUUCUGCCCUUAUCAACAUGAGGUGGUUGUAAUUGAGAAGCAGGUCUGAUACCUGGGAAGAAUCCAGUUCCGGGUCCAACGGCAGCACCAGGUGGAACAUACACUCCUGCAACACAGAGCAGAAAAAGGGUCAUCGUCUACCACUGUAACAAUAGCGCCUCAGUUUGCAGCCAUGUUACUUUUGUAACCAAUAAUGAGCCCAUUUAUUAACACAUUCUCAAACACAUUCAUAAUCUGUGACCCAGACAGAGCAAUAAAACAAAUCUGUCCUUGGAUUAAACAUCUGCCGCAUGUUAGCAACGACAGGGCAUCCGAUCAAACGUAAACAGUGGCUUCAGCCAGGGCGUAAUGAAAGGAAAAGACUUUGUACGCUAGAUGAGGAGAAAGGUCCAAUAGUUUUCAUUGUGAUGAGGUAUUGCAGUUGGAAACCUUUCAUAGAGUCGUUGUAGCAUUGUGGACACCCCCAGCCCCCUCCUGGACUACACCCCGUAACUUCAUUUCUUGCCCGCUUUCUGGCAGCAAGUCAGAGUAAUUCCUGCAUUGGUCGAUCUGGAUUCCAGACCCAGUGGCCUCAUGUGAACAACAACAGAACUAAAAGAAAAAGAGGACAAAAAAAGUGAUUUCAGUUGUUCUGGGACAACUAACAGCUAAAUCCAAUGGGACUGGUGAGCUAAGGCCAAAAUUAUAGCAUUAUACUUUUUUUGACGGGAAAACCUGGUUUGUAUCACCAAGAACACAAUUCAGCAGAGAGUAUGGGGCUGCAGGACCACAGUGAUUAUAUUUAAUGGAUCUUACAUGUGUUAGGGCCAAUUAAUUUGAACCACAUGUCAAAGGCGUUCAUGUGUUUAUUAGCAAAUUCUGUGUGAACACCGCACUUUGAGUUCUGUCCACUGAAGGUGUCCAUUAAUGGAAGAACAUUACAAGGUAUUACUGUCCGAUCUGGUUGAAGGAAACCCCAUGACACGCGCCGCAGAACUAUCCCCGAAAAUCCAACUUCUCACUGGAGAAGGCUCCGACGUGCUCGCUAACGAGCUGUGACAAGCGGAAUGGGUUUGUCCACAGUUUCUAUCGUGCAGCUAAACUAAGCAGUAAAGGAAACAUGAGCAGCGAGAGCCAGUCAGUGCAGAAAAACCCAUGAAGUGCGAAGUCCGGGAACACAAUUCAGCAAUUCACUGUUGGAUUGAGUUAUUAAAGUACUGUAACACGUAUUGGACACUCACAAAACUAAUAAAAACACGAGCCUGAAGUUUUGAUUGCUCCUUAAAUGCUGAAAAAUUUGACAGCUUUAGACAGUAUUAAUACAACAGUGAGUGAUUUACUGUAUGUUAUCAGGAGCAAAACCUACUUAGACGCUCAACAACUGCAGCCAUUAAAUGAGUGGAAUACAGAGAAACAGGUUUUUAUUUAAGAGAAGCCUUUUCUAGAGCAGCAGCGGUUCACAGAAUGAGGUCAUGUAGAAGAAUUAGUUUUGUUUUUUUGUUAUAUUUUUUAUUUUAGCUGCAAGUGGGAAUAAGUGGGAACAUUUACGAUUCUCGGUGAAAUGAUGAAUGAAGGAACGGACAAAUGCAAAUGAGUUUGCCUUUCAACUCCUGCCUCGUGGCACGGCUCUCAGGUGCAGGCACCACACAGCAGGGGUGGGGUUAUUGUUCUCGACCCGGUUCCCUCGUCUCACAAUCAAAAGGAGGAUUUCCUGUCUCGGCGUGGCGAGCAGGGAACGUGCGUCUGCUCCACUUUUCCUUUUUCUCAGAAUCCCAACCGCUACUGUGCCCAUGUCUGCAGAGUGCAUUCGGUUCACUGACACCAUGAAAAUAAGACACAAUGACCUCCGCCAAGUGACCUCACCUAUCGCAAUACGUUGCGAGAUUUAUGAUGGUCUUAAAUCACGUCACCCUCAGCAUGUGGUAACGUCCCUGUGAACUUAUCCAGGUCAUGAGAAUGUGCAGGAAUUUGUAUGAACGAUGCGACUGACUCCGAAUGCGCGGGAUUAAAUUGGGAAGAAUUUAUUUCAUUGUUGAUUUCAGCUGAAGGUUUAACCUUGAGUGUUUCUGAGAUGAUUAAUGUUGGUAGAGAACCCAGGAAGAGAGAUUUGUGCUUUUAUUACCAAGUAGUGACUUUUAACAGCAUCUUUAUCAUCUCAAAUCUGUGACUGUUAAAAGAUAAAAAGGGAAAAAGUGUUAAAUUCAGCUUUACAGCGCGCAAACAGAGCAAACGAGACAACAAGUUAUUGCUUAAAGCGAUAUAAUUCAUCCGGGGCAGGUUCAUCCAGGUGACGCAGAGAAAGAUAAGUGAGAGAAUUUUAAAAUGUUUUUCAGACAGACGACCUUUUUUAGAGGCCAGACGAUGAAGCGCCAGUAUAUCACUGCCUGCUACUCCGUCAGGAGGUCUUGCUUUCAGCUAAAUAUCACGGUUGUUGUGCGAUUUCUCCUUUUGUGGUUUGAGCCCAGAGUGGCCCUGAGCACAUUAAGAGGGUGAUGACGUGCAUUCGCUCGCCGGAAUCCUGACAGUGAUUUGAAUUUAUUACCUCUCCACUCUGGACCUGAAUGGGGUUCAAGUCAUAGGAACCAGUAACAGAGCCAACCAUCAACAGAAGUGAAGUGAGAAGAUGUAAUCAAAAUGGACCGGAAGUAGUUUACACUUGAUGUGAUUUUAUGUUAAUCAAAAAAACCUGAAAGGGUCAUUUCAUAUUAUAAACCAUUUAUCUAAUGAAUGUAUGUUGCUAGAGUUCGGUGGGUUUUAUGGUGGGCCCUUUUGGGAAACCAUCAAAAACAUACCCAAGUCUGUCACUAACCUUUAUCUGAGGUAAUCACCAACAUAUACAGUAUAGUAAUAUUUGUACAGUAUAAACACAUGGAUAGGCUGUUUUCCCUCUGUUGUGACAAUUCUUGCUGUGUAAAAGUAAUUGAAUAGGGAGUGAAAAAAUAAAUAAAUAAAUAAAGCACA